UCUCUCUCCCCCCUUGUUGUUCGCUGUUUGCUGAAGGCUAGAACCAAGCCGUUGGAGAUCCCCGAUGAACCGAUCCAAUUCUAUGUCCAGAUCUCUCCAUGUCUUCUUUCUAGAUCUGGUCACUGGUGAGAUCUGGUUCGUUGAAAGCCAUAAGCUUCAGAUCUGGUUCUACUCUCUUUCCCAUUCUCAAAUCUAAGACCAAUGUGAGGGCUUGUUGCAAUCUUUAUCUCCUUCUAUCAUUUUCUCAUCAUGGUAGAAGUGUCUAGGUUGAUCAUUCAUCCCUACUUGUUACUUUCUAUAGAUCUAUUAAAAUAAAUAAAUAUUCAUAUGAUAUAUAUAUAUCUUGAUGCUUGAUGUGUGAAAGACAUAGAUCUAUUGCUAAGGUUUUUAAAAUAUGGUUGGAUGAUGUUUGAGGAUUGAAUGUGAUGAUUGUAUUGAUUGGGGUUAUUGUAUAUGAGUUUGAUAUUUAUAUAUUUGGGAGAUGUAUUGAGUUAGGGAAAGGCUUAAGGCAUAAGUGUGCCGGUGUAACGUGGUGGAAUGACAUAUAUGUAUGUCUCGGGCGUUACAUCGUUUCUUGUUGGGUCAUGUGGCAAUCGUUUGAGUUGGCAUGAUUCAUCGCCGGAGCGGGCAUGCGGCGUACCUGUAAAUGGAGUAACGUAGAAGCGUGAUGUCGUGGAGACAACGUGGAACGUAUGAACAUGGUGGCGGAUCAAGCGAGAACCAAUGUCGGUAACUUGAUUGCGUGAAGGCGUGAGACAGCGUAAUGUCGUGGAGACAACGCAACAUGAAAGUUCUCGCGCGACAACAUGAGGAACGCGGGUACCGAUUUAGGUGGCGUGGUCUCAUUGUUGGAACCGCCGGGGUUUAUCCUCAUUUUUUGUUGAUUGCUUUCGAUUUACUGAAUGUUAAAGGUAGAUGCUUAUGCUAUGUUGUGUGAUGAUUGUUGGUGAUUGAUUUUGGGGCUCCUGGAGCUUCCCUCACUGAGCUUUUGUCGAAAUGCUCACCCUUCCUUCUUCCUUCAUUUCAGGUUCGGCUCAUAUUGUUGGGUUUUUGUCAAAGACGUCCUGUGAUCCUAAAGACACAUUGUUUCGGCCUUGUGGCUGGAGACAAGUGUCAUGAUAUCGCCGACCAUUUCAGCUAUGCUGGAUCGGGGUGUCACAAUUAUGAUAUCUGAGCGAGAACCAUAUUAACAAACUUAAACCAUCACUAUACAUCAAUCUAAUAGAUUUUGAAUAUUCCAAUCAAAUAAUGGCAUAUAAAUAUGACAAUAGUUUCUUUUUAAA